GUAACGGUCACCGCAAGGUUUUGGCGACAAUCGCCAGGCAGUCUUUCCGCGGUUCGCUUGGCGAGCCGCAACCGGCAACGCCGGAUUUGCUAAACAGGUCGGUAUCGAUAUCGAC
rfam:Pseudomonas batumici strain TCM B-321 Contig_12, whole genome shotgun sequence.